rnacentral:lncRNA from 1 species
CUCGGAGGGAGGGGCUAGCAGUCUCUCCGUGCUCCUCCGGCCCCCGCGCCCUGGCGGGAGAGGGGCUUCGCUCGCCGCCGCUGCUCCACCCCCCAAGAGUCCCCGUUACCCCUGCGCUCGGAGUCCCGGAAGCAGGAAAGGGACCCUAGUUAGACCUGGCGUAGGGAGGGAUUAGGGGGUCGACAGAUUGGGCAGAGAGAUCGUAACCCCGUCCCUGGAGGCAGCUUUCUGGGAGUCCAGCCCCUUCCCCGGAGGAUGCAAAUUCCAUAGGGAGGAUUAGCUCCAGUGGACUCUGUGUACUCCCUCCUGAGAUCGAGUUUGUGCAUCUGAGGACAUCAGAUUGCUUAGAGAUUCCUGAGACCAUCUGAACCAACAUCCACCAAGUUCUCUGACUCCCUUCAGUGACAAGAGAUUUCUUCUACUGCCUUCAUCUCUGCCUGUACAAGAUUCACUGUGAUCUGCAUUUGCUGUUCAAGAAGACUCCACGUGUUACGAAUACCAGUUGCCAAAACACCUACACUCAUGAAUCCAACUUCAAACCCUAUCCACCAUGCUCUCCACUUUUUUGAUAUUGUGCUCCAAAAUUUUCCCUCGUAUUUCCCUUCUAACACCCAAGAGAUCACCAGUGCCCAACUUAGAGAUUUCAUUCUUGAUCUCUUUCUCCAGGGUGAUCUCAUGGAUUUCACUUGGGAUGAGGUAAUUCAGUUUCUGGAACUUCCGUAAAAAUAUGGCAUUAUGUCUCUCCUUAAAUAAAAGUGGA